GAUGAACGCUGGCGGCGUGCCUAAUACAUGCAAGUCGAGCGAACGGACGAGAAGCUUGCUUCUCUGAUGUUAGCGGCGGACGGGUGAGUAACACGUGGAUAACCUACCUAUAAGACUGGGAUAACUUCGGGAAACCGGAGCUAAUACCGGAUAAUAUUUUGAACCGCAUGGUUCAAAAGUGAAAGACGGUCUUGCUGUCACUUAUAGAUGGAUCCGCGCUGCAUUAGCUAGUUGGUAAGGUAACGGCUUACCAAGGCAACGAUGCAUAGCCGACCUGAGAGGGGGAUAGGCCACCCUGGAACUGAGACGCGGUCCAGACGCCUACGGGAGGCAGCAGUAGGGAAUCUUCGGCAAUGGGCGAAAGCCUGACGGAGCAAGGCCGCGUGAGUGAUGAAGGUCUUCGGAUCGUAAAACUCUGUUAUUAGGGAAGAACAUAUGUGUAAGUAACUGUGCACAUCUUGACGGUACCUAAUCAGAAAGCCACGGCUAACUACGUG
rnacentral:rRNA from 1 species